rnacentral:rRNA from 1 species
UAGCUAGUUGGUAGGGUAAAGGCCUACCAAGGCGACGAUCGGUAGCUGGUCUGAGAGGAUGACCAGCCACACUGGAACUGAGACACGGUCCAGACUCCUACGGGAGGCAGCAGUGGGGAAUAUUGGACAAUGGGGGCAACCCUGAUCCAGCAAUGCCGCGUGUGUGAAGAAGGCCUGAGGGUUGUAAAGCACUUUCAGUGGGGGGGAGGAUAUUUUGGUUAAGAGCUGGGAUAUUGGACGUUACCCACAGAAGAAGCACCGGCUAACUCCGUGCCAGCAGCCGCGGUAAUACGGAGGGUGCGAGCGUUAAUCGGAAUUACUGGGCGUAAAGGGUGCGUAGGUGGUUAAUUAAGUUAUCUGUGAAAUCCCUGGGCUCAACCUGGGCAGGUCAGAUAAUACUGUUUAACUCGAGUAUGGGGGAGGGUAGUGGAAUUUCCGGUGUAGCGGUGAAAUGCGUAGAGAUCGGAAGGAACACCAGUGGCGAAGGCGGCUACCUGGCCUAAUACUGACACUGAGGCACGAAAGCGUGGGGAGCAAACAGGAUUAGAUACCCUGGUAGUCCACGCUGUAAACGAUGUCAACUAGCUGUUGGUUAUAUGAAUAUAAUUAGUGGCGC